UUAAGCGACUAAGCGUACACGGUGGAUGCCCUGGCAGUCAGAGGCGAUGAAGGACGUGCUAAUCUGCGAUAAGCGUCGGUAAGGUGAUAUGAACCGUUAUAACCGGCGAUUUCCGAAUGGGGAAACCCAGUGUGAUUCGUCACACUAUCAUUAACUGAAUCCAUAGGUUAAUGAGGCGAACCGGGGGAACUGAAACAUCUAAGUACCCCGAGGAAAAGAAAUCAACCGAGAUUCCCCCAGUAGCGGCGAGCGAACGGGGAGCAGCCCAGAGCCUGAAUCAGUGUGUGUGUUAGUGGAAGCGUCUGGAAAGGCGCGCGAUACAGGGUGACAGCCCCGUACACAAAAAUGCACAUGCUGUGAGCUCGAUGAGUAGGGCGGGACACGUGGUAUCCUGUCUGAAUAUGGGGGGACCAUCCUCCAAGGCUAAAUACUCCUGACUGACCGAUAGUGAACCAGUACCGUGAGGGAAAGGCGAAAAGAACCCCGGCGAGGGGAGUGAAAAAGAACCUGAAACCGUGUACGUACAAGCAGUGGGAGCACAGAGCAAUCUGUGUGACUGCGUACCUUUUGUAUAAUGGGUCAGCGACUUAUAUUCUGUAGCAAGGUUAACCGAAUAGGGGAGCCGAAGGGAAACCGAGUCUUAACUGGGCGUUAAGUUGCAGGGUAUAGACCCGAAACCCGGUGAUCUAGCCAUGGGCAGGUUGAAGGUUGGGUAACACUAACUGGAGGACCGAACCGACUAAUGUUGAAAAAUUAGCGGAUGACUUGUGGCUGGGGGUGAAAGGCCAAUCAAACCGGGAGAUAGCUGGUUCUCCCCGAAAGCUAUUUAGGUAGCGCCUCGUGAAUUCAUCUCCGGGGGUAGAGCACUGUUUCGGCAAGGGGGUCAUCCCGACUUACCAACCCGAUGCAAACUGCGAAUACCGGAGAAUGUUAUCACGGGAGACACACGGCGGGUGCUAACGUCCGUCGUGAAGAGGGAAACAACCCAGACCGCCAGCUAAGGUCCCAAAGUCAUGGUUAAGUGGGAAACGAUGUGGGAAGGCCCAGACAGCCAGGAUGUUGGCUUAGAAGCAGCCAUCAUUUAAAGAAAGCGUAAUAGCUCACUGGUCGAGUCGGCCUGCGCGGAAGAUGUAACGGGGCUAAACCAUGCACCGAAGCUGCGGCAGCGACGCUUAUGCGUUGUUGGGUAGGGGAGCGUUCUGUAAGCCUGCGAAGGUGUGCUGUGAGGCAUGCUGGAGGUAUCAGAAGUGCGAAUGCUGACAUAAGUAACGAUAAAGCGGGUGAAAAGCCCGCUCGCCGGAAGACCAAGGGUUCCUGUCCAACGUUAAUCGGGGCAGGGUGAGUCGACCCCUAAGGCGAGGCCGAAAGGCGUAGUCGAUGGGAAACAGGUUAAUAUUCCUGUACUUGGUGUUACUGCGAAGGGGGGACGGAGAAGGCUAUGUUGGCCGGGCGACGGUUGUCCCGGUUUAAGCGUGUAGGCUGGUUUUCCAGGCAAAUCCGGAAAAUCAAGGCUGAGGCGUGAUGACGAGGCACUACGGUGCUGAAGCAACAAAUGCCCUGCUUCCAGGAAAAGCCUCUAAGCAUCAGGUAACAUCAAAUCGUACCCCAAACCGACACAGGUGGUCAGGUAGAGAAUACCAAGGCGCUUGAGAGAACUCGGGUGAAGGAACUAGGCAAAAUGGUGCCGUAACUUCGGGAGAAGGCACGCUGAUAUGUAGGUGAAGUCCCUCGCGGAUGGAGCUGAAAUCAGUCGAAGAUACCAGCUGGCUGCAACUGUUUAUUAAAAACACAGCACUGUGCAAACACGAAAGUGGACGUAUACGGUGUGACGCCUGCCCGGUGCCGGAAGGUUAAUUGAUGGGGUUAGCGCAAGCGAAGCUCUUGAUCGAAGCCCCGGUAAACGGCGGCCGUAACUAUAACGGUCCUAAGGUAGCGAAAUUCCUUGUCGGGUAAGUUCCGACCUGCACGAAUGGCGUAAUGAUGGCCAGGCUGUCUCCACCCGAGACUCAGUGAAAUUGAACUCGCUGUGAAGAUGCAGUGUACCCGCGGCAAGACGGAAAGACCCCGUGAACCUUUACUAUAGCUUGACACUGAACAUUGAGCCUUGAUGUGUAGGAUAGGUGGGAGGCUUUGAAGUGUGGACGCCAGUCUGCAUGGAGCCGACCUUGAAAUACCACCCUUUAAUGUUUGAUGUUCUAACGUUGACCCGUGAUCCGGGUUGCGGACAGUGUCUGGUGGGUAGUUUGACUGGGGCGGUCUCCUCCUAAAGAGUAACGGAGGAGCACGAAGGUUGGCUAAUCCUGGUCGGACAUCAGGAGGUUAGUGCAAUGGCAUAAGCCAGCUUGACUGCGAGCGUGACGGCGCGAGCAGGUGCGAAAGCAGGUCAUAGUGAUCCGGUGGUUCUGAAUGGAAGGGCCAUCGCUCAACGGAUAAAAGGUACUCCGGGGAUAACAGGCUGAUACCGCCCAAGAGUUCAUAUCGACGGCGGUGUUUGGCACCUCGAUGUCGGCUCAUCACAUCCUGGGGCUGAAGUAGGUCCCAAGGGUAUGGCUGUUCGCCAUUUAAAGUGGUACGCGAGCUGGGUUUAGAACGUCGUGAGACAGUUCGGUCCCUAUCUGCCGUGGGCGCUGGAGAAUUGAGGGGGGCUGCUCCUAGUACGAGAGGACCGGAGUGGACGCAUCACUGGUGUUCGGGUUGUCAUGCCAAUGGCACUGCCCGGUAGCUAAAUGCGGAAGAGAUAAGUGCUGAAAGCAUCUAAGCACGAAACUUGCCCCGAGAUGAGUUCUCCCUGACUCCUUGAGAGUCCUGAAGGAACGUUGAAGACGACGACGUUGAUAGGCCGGGUGUGUAAGCGCAGCGAUGCGUUGAGCUAACCGGUACUAAUGAACCGUGAGGCUUAACCUU
rnacentral:rRNA from 2 species